GAAGCGGUAACAGCUCAAAUUUGAAAUCUGGCUCUUGCGGAGUCCGAGUUGUAAUUUGUAGAAGAUGCUUUGGGUUGUGGGUUCGGCCUAAGUUCCUUGGAACAGGACGUCAUAGAGGGUGAGAAUCCCGUAUGUGGCCGAGGCCCGCGCCUAUGUAAAGCUCUUUCAACGAGUCGAGUUGUUUGGGAAUGCAGCUCAAAAUGGGUGGUAAAUUUCAUCUAAAGCUAAAUAUGGGCCAGAGACCGAUAGCGCACAAGUAGAGUGAUCGAAAGAUGAAAAGCACUUUGGAAAGAGAGUUAAACAGUACGUGAAAUUGUUGAAAGGGAAGCGCUUGCAACCAGACUUGGGCGCUGCCGAUCACCUUGAGUUUUCUCGAGUGCACUCGACAGCGCACAGGCCAGCAUCGGUUCGGGUGGCUGGAUAAAGGCCGUAGGAAUGUGGCUCUCUUCGGGGAGUGUUAUAGCCUACGGUGCCAUGCAGCCCAGCCGGACCGAGGACCGCGCCUUCGGGCUAGGAUGCUGGCGUAAUGGUUGUAAGCGACCCGUCUUGAAACACGGACCAAGGAGUCUAACAUCUAUGCGAGUGUUUGGGUGGUAAACCCAUACGCGGAAUGAAAGUGAACGUAGGUGAGAACCCCUUUGGGGCGCAUCAUCGACCGAUCCUGAUGUCUUCGGAUGGAUUUGAGUAAGAGCAUAGCUGUUGGGACCCGAAAGAUGGUGAACUAUGCCUGAAUAGGGUGAAGCCAGAGGAAACUCUGGUGGAGGCUCGCAGCGGUUCUGACGUGCAAAUCGAUCGUCAAAUUUGGGCAUAGGGGCGAAAGACUAAUCGAACCAUCUAGUAGCUGGUUCCUGC
rnacentral:rRNA from 1 species